UCCUGGUUAGCUCAAUUCGUAGGGCGCUUCAUUGGAAAUGAAGAGGUCCCGGGUUCGAUACCCGAACCAGGCG
rnacentral:tRNA from 2 species